rnacentral:rRNA from 1 species
AUUGAACGCUGGCGGCAGGCUUAACACAUGCAAGUCGAGCGAGCGGCGGACGGGUGAGUAAUGUCUGGGAAACUGCCUGAUGGAGGGGGAUAAAUACUGGAAACGGUAGCUAAUACCGCAUACCAUCAGAUGUGCCCAGAUGGGAUUAGCUAGUAGGUGGGGUAAUGGCUCACCUGGGCGACGAUCCCUAGCUGGUCUGAGAGGAUGACCGGCCACACUGGACCUAAAACACGGUCCAGACUCCUACGGGGGGCAGCCGUGGGGAAUAUUGCACAAUGGGCGCAAGCCGAAUGCAGCCAUGCCGCGUAUGUGAAGAGGGCCUUCGGUUUGUAAAGCACUUUCAGCGAGGAGGCGUUACUCGCAGAGGAAGCACCGGCUAACUCCGUGCCAGCAGCCGCGGUAAUUC